AAGACAAAAAACGACCAUGAGUACGAUAAUGUUCCGUCGAUCUGAUUGCAAAUACAAUUACAAAUAAUGCACAUGUGCAGGCGCACGCUGGGCCAGAUGGACGGCUCUGGGCCUCUAUUAUGAAGUGACAGUGACCGGGAUGAGCAGCCCUGCAAGAGUCACACAGCCUUGACAUGGAGGACUCAGAGUGAGCAGGCAUCGAUGGAUGUAUAUACACCAACUCAUCCAUCUAUCCUGUACAGUUUCAUCUGUGCUCCCUCCAGGCAGCGCACUACAGUUGGUGCAAACGCCAUCAUGAAAUUCCAAUGGCUCUGCAGACAAAGAGGUGACUGGAGCUCCAGAGGCCUCGUGCCUCCCUGCCCACCCCAGAGCCGCUGCUCCCGACACCAGCAGAGCCGUUCCUUAUGCCUGGCGACUGACUCACCGCCUGCACCAGCCACAAGGAAGAGUCAGCAGGCCUCGCAAAUAACAAAGGGGCUUUUUUGUGCUUUUAAUAAAAAGGUGGCAGAGUUUUAUCAGACAGGAUCUGAUGUCUGUAUGACAAAGACACAGACAAGAGCUCUCUGCCUCGGUAGAUCGUGAAUUACAAAUAGAACAGCGCGUACUCAUUCUCACCUCUCAUUCUCUCAGCACAAUGGAAAAAUAGAAAAAAAAACAGAAGUAUUAAAAAAUGUGACUAAGAGAACAUAACUCAAGCGUUCUCCAGCUGCAACUGACAAAAAUUAGGGAUGAGCAACAGAGAUAAGACGGAAUGAUUCCAGCGGAGGCCCGUGUUAAAACGAAAGCCAGGUCUGGACUCCGAAAGCGAUUUCUUUCUCUUGCCAAGAGCGAGAAAUUAAUAGGGCUUGGAUGCAGGGUUGAGGAAGUCAAGAGAGACAAAAGGGGAGAAGGAUUGAGAGGGAAUGAGGAGAGGUUGCGACUGAACGCUCUCGCUCACUCUGUAAUCAAUCAUUUUCUCGGUUCUGGGUCCCAUGCUGGAGCGGGCUGGGUGUCCAGGGACGGCCCGGGAGGAGGAGACCGUAUGAUUUAAGGGCUACAGCGAGACAGGACACCUGGGGCUCCGUGGAGCCAAGGUACAGUCACAUACAUAUUCGCCCAUACACACAAACUCAGACUCCACAAUGAGAGAAUCCUCACCGAGACCCUCCUGUUUGCU